rnacentral:rRNA from 1 species
GACGAACGCUGGCGGCGUGCUUAACACAUGCAAGUCGAGCGGUAAGGCCCUUUCGGGGGUACACGAGCGGCGAACGGGUGAGUAACACGUGGGUGACCUGCCCUCAGCUCUGGGAUAAGCCUGGGAAACCGGGUCUAAUACUGGAUAUGACUCCAUGACGCAUGUUGUGGGGUGGAAAGCCUUGUGCGGCUGAGGAUGGGCCCGCGGCCUAUCAGCUUGUUGGUGGGGUGAGGCCUACCAAGGCGACGACGGGUAGCCGGCCUGAGAGGGCGACCGGCCACACUGGGACUGAGACACGGCCCAGACUCCUACGGGAGGCAGCAGUGGGGAAUCUUGCGCAAUGGGCGAAAGCCUGACGCAGCGACGCCGCGUGAGGGAUGACGGCCUGGUUGU